rnacentral:rRNA from 1 species
UACGUAGGGACCAAGCGUUGUUCGGAUUUACUGGGCGUAAAGGGCGCGUAGGCGGUUUGUACAGUCAGGUGUGAAAUUCCCGGGCUCAACCUGGGGGCUGCACUUGAUACGUAUGGACUGGAGUGGGGAAGAGGGUCGUGGAAUUCCCAGUGUAGAGGUGAAAUUCGUAGAUAUUGGGAAGAACACCGGUGGCGAAGGCGGCGACCUGGUCCUUGACUGACGCUGAGGCGCGAAAGCGUGGGGAGCAAACAGG